UUGAACGUUGGCGGCGUGGAUUAGGCAUGCAAGUCGAGCGAGGCCGGCCCGCAAGGGUCGAGUCGAGCGGCGAAAGGGGCAGUAAGGCGUGGAUAACCUACCCUGGGGACUGGGAUAGCGGCCCUAACGGGCCGGUAAUACCGGGCGACGUGGCGAGGGGGCAUCUCCUUGUCACCAAAUGAGUUUCGCCCUGGGAGGGGUUCACGUGGUAUUAGCUAGUUGGUGAGGUAAUGGCUCACCAAGGCUUAGAUGCCUAGCGGGUGGGAGAGCACGACCCGCGCCACUGGCACUGAGACACUGGCCAGACACCUACGGGGGGCUGCAGUCGAGGAUCUUCGGCAAUGGGCGCAAGCCUGACCGAGCGACGCCGCGUGUGCGAUGAAGGCCUUCGGGUUGUAAAGCACUGUCGAGGGGGAGGAAGCCGCAAGGUUGACCUAUCCCUGGAGGAAGGACGGGCUAAGUUCGU
rnacentral:rRNA from 1 species